AGAGGCCUAACACUGAAGACGCCACACUUGAGGUAGAAAGAACAAACGGGCCUGAGAUAUCCUUCCAUUCCUAAUCUCAUAUUUACAAGGCACCACUGUGGGCAGUUGAUGAAUAUGUAAAAGAGGGGUGUUUAAUCUGGAAGGGAGCCAGAUGAAUAGGAAUGUUGGGAGAAGAUGGCUUAAGUAGGACUAUGAGGUCCAAAUUCUGUAGGACAGACGAGAUCAGGAACAGACAUGGAGGGGAGGCAGGUUUAUUUCUUAUGUAAGGAUUUUGUUUUCCCUAAACAUUACAUCCAGAAAAAUGAAUUGGGUUUCCUAAAAAACAGUGAACUUAUCACAGCUGAUGUUUCUUAUAGCAUAUAAGUAAAUAUUGAACAACCAGAUCAGGGAUCAUGUUAAAGCAAUUGCUUGGACUAAGACUUCUGUGAUGUUUUCCAGGUUUCAAUUUCUAUGAUUUUAGACUGGAGCAGAACUCAAUUACAGCCCCCUUCUUUCAAGUUCCUGCCAUAUAGAUGCAAUGAAAGUAUUUCUGUAAAAAUACCAGACACUGUAAAUAUAUCCCAGACCAUUUAGAAGCCGGUAUUUCAUGACCUUAAAAAAAAAUUUGCUUUGCUUACACACACACACUCACCACUGCCAGCCAAUUCCCAAAUCUCUAAAUAAGAUAUAUAUUUCUCCUAAGUCAUAAGUCACAAAUUCAGGAAUUAAAGUGAAAACAAAGGAUCUAGUGUUCACUCUCCUACUUUCUCCCCGUUUUUUUUGUUUGGGGUGUGCAUUUGGAACUGGAGCUUGGAGAACGGGCAGAAGAUCUCUGUAUUUUCUGACUACAAAAAGGCAUGGAGGCAAUUUCUGUAACCUGUUGUCAUGAAACAGGACUUAACCUCCCAUCCCUAGACUAAUUUUCCCGGGAUGUUUCUGUUUGUGAACUAGUUUUAAUUGCCUACCUUCCCUUACUUCCAUGAAUUCCUAGAUUUCAGGUUGGCUGCAUGGGGGUGGGAGUCGUUCUGAGAUAGUUGUUAACCGUGGACCCGUAUCUGGAGGCUUGCUCAGAGAAUUGCUCCCACUCCAUCUUGUCUCCCACCCUUCCCACUUGCCUCUGGCUCAGGAAGGUAAGAAAAAGCAGAGUAAUAGGAAAAAAAAAAAAAAGAUUCUCAAGUAAUACAGUAAUAGGGCACUAGUCUUAAAUUGCCAUGGCAACCCACAAAUGAAUAAUAUAUACUCUCAGCAAACUUUGAUCCUCAUGAAAAGCAAAUUCAGAAGAUACAGAGAAAAAUUGAAGUGGUUUAGAGUGGCUACAAAGAGUUUCUCAGUUGUGAAAUAGUCAACAUAUAUUGCUUAGAAGAAUUAGAUUAUGUCUAGAAUUUAGGAGAAAACAGGGCUCUGGUAAUAGAAGGAAGAACUUUCCAGCAGAGCUUUCCAAAGGACUGGGUUGAUUUUGAAAGAGUUUCUCCAAAUGUUCAGAGAUUAGACUGUGGACUUGUGCAGGACUCCGAUAAAAUCUGAGAAAAAUAAAGGACAAUUUAGGGACUUUUUCAUAAUCCUUACAAAUUCUGAGACUAUGACUUUCCUUUUGGGGGGUUUACAUGUAACCUUUCCUCUUAAGAAUUAUAGAAGUAGAUUAUUAUGAAUUUUCUUGUAAAAAUAAAUAGAUGAAAGCCCUAAAUUGGUUUACC
rnacentral:lncRNA from 1 species